CGGCCUGCCCACUGAAAUAUUUAAAUGGCCGUGGUAUUUUGACCGUGCUAAGGUAGCAUAAUCAUUAGUUUUUUAAUUAAAAGCUGGAAUGAAGGGUUAGAUAAAAAAAUAACUGUCUCUAUUUAAUUUUAUUAGAAUUUUAUUUUUAAGUUAAAAAGCUUAAAUUAUAUUAAAAGACGAGAAGACCCUAUAGAGUUUUAUUAUAAUUUUUAUUUUUUAUUUUGGAAUUUAUUUAUUAAGUUAAAUUUAUAAUUUAAUUGGGGCGAUUGAAAAAUAUAUUGAACUUUUUUUGUAAUAUAACAUUAAUUUAUGAAUUAUUGAUCCAAUUUUUUUGAUUAUAAGAUAAAAUUACCUUAGGGAUAACAGCGUAAUUUUUUUAGAAAGUUCAUAUUGAAAAAAAAGAUUGCGACCUCGAUGUUGGAUUAAAAUAAAUUUUUGGUGUAGAAGCUAAAAUAUUAGGUCUGUUCGACCUUUAAAAUUUC
rnacentral:rRNA from 1 species